AUGGUCAUAAAUCACAGGACUACAUAGC
rnacentral:sRNA from 1 species